GGGAAAUGGGAGAGAGGGCCAGUGCCGGACCCCGAAACAAUGUUAUGGGGCA
rfam:Rattus norvegicus chromosome 1, whole genome shotgun sequence.